rnacentral:snoRNA from 1 species
AUUCCCUAAGAGUCUUUACCCCUCAGAUCUAAAUAUUGGUCUGAGUUGCAGAAAAAAGGGUGAAAAGUAAACCUGAAGUGAACUUGGACUUUUCAGCAACAUGCGAGUUCAUUUCAAACAUUU